UCCUCACAAUCACUGUUAUGCUUGAGCCCAUUGUCGCAGCUACUGAUCUCGUUGAGGGUCUUCCUCGUUUUCGUUCACCCUCCACUUUACCAAGCAUGAUGUCCUUCUCCAGGCGCUGAUCCCUCCCGACAACAUGUCCAAAGUAUUUCAGCUGUAGUCUCGCCAUUCUUGCUUCCCAGGAGCAUUCUGUUUGUAGUUCUUCCAAGACAGAUUUGUUCGUUGUUUUGGCAGUCCGUGGUAUAUUCAAUAUUCUUCACCAACACCUCAAUUCAAAGACGUCAAUUCUUCUUCGGUCUCCUUAUUCAUUGUCAAGCUUUUGCAUGCAUAUGAGGGCACUGAAAACACCAUGGCUUGGGUCAGGCACACCUUAGUCUUCAAACUUGAAAAGCUUGCUUUUCAACACUUUAAAGAGGUCUUUUGCAGCAGAUUUGCCUGAUGCAAUGCAUAUAAGGGUAUAAUGUAUAAUGGUAGUGCUAAUUUGGAGUCUCUGGGCCGUGCAAGCAGUCAACGUGGUUGGCUGCUAACCGAAGGGUUAGCAGUUCGAGUCCACCCAGAGGUCCCUCGGAAGAAAGGCCUAGCAAUCUACUUCUGGAAAAUCAACACUGAAAACCCUACAGAGCACAGCUCUACUCUGACACACAUGCAGAAUCACCAAGAUUCGGAACAGACUUGACGGCAGCUGGUACUGAGAGUGCUCCUUUACCACUUCGUAGAAAGUCAUUGGUGUGCGCGCUGUGCUUUUGGCUGUCGUGCUUUUACAGAGAGAUGCUCGGAGAUCCAGGAUGGAGGAGCAGAUCCAGGGUGCCUCGGCCUGGGUGGCACUUCCUCUUAGAGUCCUGGGCCAGCCGUUUCACUGCUGUCACUUUACAGAAGGAAAUGCCGUCUGGCACGUGCUGUCCUUGCGUUCUCACAGUUCUUACAGUUGUUGCUGGUGAGUUUCAAAACCAAACCUCUUUGAACCUUCAGGAUAUUUCCAAGCCUGUAAAGCACUCCUCUAAGAAAUUCAUGGAAAGCAACAAGCCUCCUGCUUGCCAGAAGUUGUUGGAGAAUGAGAAGAAAUACAGUCAACCCAGAGGAUAUUGAAUUUGUUGAUGGUUCACCUUUAAAAUCAAGAAGUUAUGUUGAAGUAUAUUUGGGGCAGCCAGUGGAGGUGUUUGACAAACUUUCGGUUGAAAUGGACUCCGGGGAAAUUGUACAGAAAGCAGCACUGAGAGGAUGGAAGUGAUGGAGCAAAGACUAGAACACUGUUAACAAAUACUCAAUCGACUACCCUCGCUAGGACGUUGGGGAAGGAGUGGAAAAAAAUUGCCAUUGCCCACCUGGACUUGGAGAUGAGUGAUAUUGAUUAUAACCAGGAGAAGGAGGAAGACGUUCCACUCGGUUUCUUACAGGAAACGUGACCUUUGUAAGUUGCACUGAGAAAAGAAGACUCAGAAACUUUGACUUGAAAAAGAUGGUUUCAACCUGCAGCUGGUUAGAGGCUUGAUUAGACCUGAGACCUCCCCAGCCCGUAGGGGCAGCUUCUUUCCUUUUCAGCCACUCUGCAGCUCAUAUUACACAGGGGCAAAGGAAGGGUAAAAUAUUUGGAAAAUUUUAGGAGGAAAAACCUCUAGAAUAUCAAGAUUUUCCUUUUUGCACCUCCAUUUUUUUUUUUGUAAAUUGUUCUAAAAAAUUAAAAGUAUAAUUUCGGAGGUGCUUUGUAGACAAACUGGUUUCAUAAUGAUUUUCAGCUUUUUCCAAACUACAGAUGAAUGGAAGAAAAAUAAAUCUGCAGUUGUACAGGGCUAACCUGCCUUCAUUGUGUUACUGUCUGUAAAGAUUACCGCCAAGAAAACCCUACGGGGCAGUUCUACUCUGUCAAAUGGAGUCUCCAUGGGCCUGAAUCAACUGGAAGGCACCCAACAGCAACAAUGUACCUUCAUUAUAUUAUUAUUUACUUAUAAAAUAGUUCUUAUAAAGUAUCCUAUUCCUUGAUUAUUAUUAUUUUGGCUGUUUUGGGAAUUAGGUGGUUUUGAUCCCAGGUCUCUGGGUCUUGGAUUGAGGCCAGGUGAGUAGUGUAAACCAGAGUCAAUUAGUUCUUCCCGGUGUUCGCACGAGUUCAGGAGAAUCUACACACCCCCCUAAACUAACCCUUUUCCUACAGGAAGACUUAGGGUUUCCUCCCCUCCGUGAUGGGAGAGUGUGCUUUUACUUAAAACCAUGUGGACUCAUAUUAGUUCCUCAACUGUGGGUCUCUCACAGAUUUUUUUUUUUUUUUAACAUCAUGGGGCUCGUUUAUUUAUUUUAUUUUUUGUAUACCUUUAAGGGAAAAGCUUCUUCUCCUGUUAUUUCAUAUGGAGGCACGUUUUUCACUCCCCUCUCUACAGAGGCCACUGACCAUUUUUGAUGAUUUUUAAAUGUGUUCUCGUGAGGAUGGUGGUUUUCAGCAGUCGGCCUGGUCUGUUCCCCUUGCUGGAAAUCCUUAUUGGGGUGAAGCGCCACACUGCGUGCUGAAGGGCCUGACCCCAGCCGGGUAGCCAGGGAUUUACUGCUGGAGGUGUGUUUCCAGUUUCCCUGGCUACACACCGCAGCUUCAGUUCUGUUGGGGGUCUGCAGUGGCUGACACUAGAUAGAGGCCCUGGGGUUGGGUUCUGGGUGGGAGUCCUGCGGUUCUUCCUGCUUCUGUGCUGGGGCCCCCAGUUCAAGCCUGGAGCCCGCCAGUGGAUUUAGAUCUAACGUGUCCCAGUCAUGAUGUGAACCAUUAGUAAGAAAGCCUCAAGUUACUCUGCUGUCUUUAUUCUGCAGGAGUCCAGCCUUGCUCUUUGCUGCAAUCUGUGACGUGAGUUUCAUUUUUAAAAGUGGGUAUGCUCUACACAUUUAUGUUGUUGCCAUCAAAUUGAUUUUGACUCAUGGUGUUCCCAUGUGUGCAGGGUAGAACGGCUCCAUGGGCUUUCAAGGCCAUGACCUUUCUGUAGCAGAUCACCAGGCCUAUCUUCCAAGGUGCCUCGGUGCGUUCGAGUCACCAACCCCAACCUUUCUGUUAGUAACUGAACAUUUAAGCAAGUCUGAAAAUCUAAAAGAUGAUUUUUUUACUUAUAAACUGUAGGGAGGGGCUUGAACUAGAUCACUGGAGUUUGAACUUUUCCUUAGCCAUGGAAGCCAUUUGUCAAAGGGGAUCUGACCCGGAACCCACACUGGGAAACGCUGAAAGGCAGAGCUGCUCUGGCUGGGGAGGGUUGUGGAGGGGAGAGAAGGGAGCCCAGAGCCUUGCUGGUCCCUAACUGCUCCUGUCAGGGGUAGCGGAAACCAGGGGUGGGAUGAUGAGGCCUCCGAGUUCGUUUCUAAGGUAUCUGGAGUUUGCCAGCCUGCUAUGCUGUUUUGUUCAUUUGGCAUGUCGUUUCUGAAGGAUAAUAACUAUAUAAUUCAAAACCAUAUAAUUAAAUUAUUUAAAACUAAUCAGCAAGCUUAUGAAUUCUGGUUCCCCCUCCCCAUUACCAAAACAAACAAACAAAAAUACCCAUUGUUGUUGAGUCGAUUCCUACUCAUAGCAACCCUGUAGGACAGCGUAGGCCUGCCCCACGGGGUUUGCAAGGCUGUAAUCUUUACGGGAAGAUUACUAUGAAUCCAUGUCCCUUCCCAGUGGAACAAGCAUGUAUAAUUAUUUUGAACCAGACAAGCAUGAGCAUUUUAACAUUUUUAACUUUUUUCUUGUAAUUUGGAUUAUUUUUUUCUUUUUAAAAGCUAAAGCCUUUCUUGUUUAUUCCUGAAUUAGAAAAGAAAGACAUAAGAAGCAUGUGGGGGCCCUGAAGGUUUUUCUUUCUUUCUCUCUCCCUUUGCCGUUUUUUUGAGUGUCUGGGGUGGGGAACACAUAUGGAAGUAGUAUGGCACUCCCUGUACUUGGGGUUCUCACAGAGCAGUGAGGCAGGCAGGACACACGUAAAAAAUUGCACGGAUGUUUGUACAGUUAUGGUGAAGUGUUCCUUUGUCUUGUUGUUAGCCACCAUGGCGUUGACCCCUGGCUCAUGGUGUGACCCCGUGUGUUACAGAGUAGAACCCUCCAUAGGAUUUUCUUGGCUGUAAUCUUUAGAAGCAGAUUUCCAGGCCUUUGUACGGGUGGGUGGGUUUGAAAUCCCAGCCUUUAGGUGAGCAGCUGAUCCCAAACCGCUUGCACCACCCAGGCUCCUUCCCCUUUGUCUUGGUGUAGCCUUAACACGAGGGAGCGACAGCAGAGGCUAGUGGCUGUGCGCACAGGCUGGAACCAGGCUGCCGGGGCUCAGGUGGUGACAUCUGCUGCUUACUCUUCGGGUGAGCAUGGGUCUUCUGCCUCGGUUUCCUGAGCUAUAAAAACGGCACGAUAAGAGUCCCUCUUCAUAGGGUUAAGGAGCCCUGGUGGCGCAGUGGUUAAGUGCUCAUCUGCGAACCAAAGUUGGAGGUUUGAACACACCAGUUGCCCCACAGUAAGAUGUGGAUUAUUGGAAGUUUAUGAGUUUGUGGUGAACACCUGGAACUGCCUGGCACAGUGCUAACUUCUAUUACUUCUGAAGUUACAUGGACCUGGUUUCUGUUAUUAUAUUGAUGUCAUAACUUAUAUUCUCUUGUAUUUUUAAUAUCAUAUUCAGACACGUAAAUGUAACAAAGUGUUUGUACUUGUACCUAUCAAAUACAUUUCAACCAAUUUAUUGGUACAUAGGGAAUUAAAGGUUUUUAUUAUGAAAUGUUUCAGACACACACAAUUUAGUUUUGGAAAAAUGUGGCUGAAUUUUAUCUUAUUUACAAUAUUGCAGUGCACUUUGCUUUAAACUUGGAAACUCUGGUGGAGCAGUGGUUCAGAGCUACUGCUGUUAAUCAAAAGGUCGGCAGCUCAAAUCCACCACGUGCGCCUUGGAAACCCUAUGGGGCAGUUCUACUCUGUCUGAUAGGGUCGCUAUGAGUCAAAACCUACUCGAUGGCAAUAGGUUUAGAUUUUUUUUUUUUUGCUUUAAACUAGGAAGCCAAAAUUAUAGCUGGAAUCAGAUGCUUGGCCUGCAAACAAGGUCAACAACCAUUUGGCCCAGAAUGACAGGGCAAAGGGGGCUGUGAUGGCGUCCAUGCUGGCCUCAGACAAAACUGAUUUUCUUCCAAUUUUGUCCCUGUGUUUUCUUCCUUCCUUAGAGCAUCUAGGCCGUUUUGCAUCUCGUGAGUUGUCCAACACCCACCUUUGAAUGUUGGUCCCGACCCCUUCCCAGAACUGUCCCUCAAAGCUCUGGGCCCUCGUUGGAGUGUUUUCACGUUAAUUCUCUCCUUGUCAUUCUCAGGUGUGAGAAACACUUGGUGUUUUUCUUUUUAGCUCGUCCAUCAGAUGAAUCUCUAAUAGGUUAUAUACUGGGGGGCUUCUGGGGGAACUCAGUCCUGCUAUGCCACUUUGCUCCCCACCCUGUCUUUUUUGCUGUCAUAUCUAUACCAGCCAGCCUCCUCUGCUGAACCCCCACAACAUGCCAAGUGCUGUGGAGGGUGUCUUUGCAAACCAUGUACGAACUGUAAAAUUUAAUGCUGAGCGUUGGCUGGGGCCAGCACAGCACUGGGUGACGUAAUCCUCACCAUAACACCGUGAAGUAGGCUCUACAGUUUUCUGAAUUCCGUAGAUAAGAAAAUAGUAGCAUAGAGGGUGUAACCAAUUUGCCUGGUCACCAAGCCCAAAAAGUAAUAAUAAAUUUUCAAAAAUUGUUAACAUUUAUUGUGUACGUCCUAUGUGCCAGGCCUUGGGCUACUGCCUAUGUAUUGCUUCAUUUAACCCUCAUUCUGAUCCUUUGGGAGUCCCUGGUGGCAAAAAUGGUUAGGCGCUGGACUGCUAGCUGAAAGGUUGGUGGUUCGAACCCACCCAGAGGCUCCUCAGAAGACAGGCCUGAUGAUCUGCUUCCAAAAGGUCACAACCUUGAACACCCUAUGGAGCAGUUCUACUCUGCACAGGAGUUGACAUCUAUUAGAUGGCAACUAUCAGCAAUGACAACGGAUCCUUUGAGGUAGGCUUUAGUAUUAUCUCCACAUCUCAACAAAAAGAAAACAAAAAUCCUCGCAACUGGACUAAUAAGCAACAUCAAGAUAAACUGAGAAAAGACUGAAGUUGUCAAGGAUUUCAUUUUACUUGGAUUCACAAUGAACACCCAUGGAAGCAGCAGUCAAGAAAUCAAAAGACGCAUUGCAUUGGGCAAACUGGCUGUGAAAGAUUUUGAAGUGUUGUAAAGCAAAGAAGACUAAGAUGACACCCAAGCCAUGGUAUUUUCUAUUGCUUCAUAUGCUUGUGAAAGCUGGACAAUGAAUAAGGAAGAUGGAAGAAGAACUGACGUCUUUGAAUUGUGGUGUUGACAAAGAAUAUUGAAUGUGCCACGGACUGCCAAAAGAACGAACAACUCUGUCCUGGAAGAAGUAGAGUCAGAAUGUUCCUUAAGAGGGAAAGAUGGUGAGACUUCAUUCCACAUACUCAGGACUUGUUAUCAGGAGAGAUCAAUCCCUGGAGAGGGACAUUAUGCUUGGUAAAGUAGAGUGUCAUCGAAAAAGAGGAAGACCUUCAACAAGGUGGACUGACACAGUGGCUGCAGCCAUGGUCUCAAGCAUGGUCCAGUUGUGAGGAUUUUUGUGGUUUUUAUGUUGAGGUGUAAUCCAUACUGAAGGCUGUGGUCUUUCAUCUUCAUCAGUAAGUGCUUCAAGUUCUCUUCACUUUCAGCAAGCAAGGUUAUGCCGUCUGCAUAUGGCAGGUUGCUAUUGAGUCUUCCUCCAAACCUGAUACCCCAUUCUUCUUCAUAUAGUCCAGCUUCUCAGAUUAUUUUUUGGCAUUUCUAGAAUAGAAGUAUCAUGGAUUUGUGUCCCCCCAAAUACAUGUUGGAGUCUAACCUCUAUACCUGUGGAUGUAAUCCCAUUUGGGAAUAGGGUUUUCUUUGUUGUGUUAAUGAAGCCAUAUCACUGUAGGGUGUAUCUUAAACCUUAUCACUUUUGAGAUGUAAAGAGAGCAGAUUAGGCACAGAGCCAAACAAGCAGACACAGGGGGAGACAGGUACUAUCCGAAGACGACAGAGGCCGAUGUAGCUACCAGUCCAGGAACUCUUUAGCUGUGUGUCACAUGGGGUGAGAACCUGAAAAAUGAAUGCUUGUCACAUGACCCUUUGAUUUGAUAAGAAAAUUAUGAGGACCUGGGGUGGUCACACACAUUCACCUUUGAAACAUACCCUCAUUCUUCACAGGUGUAAGAAUUGGGAUUCCAUGGGGAGGAUAAACAUAAGGAAAGAGGAUCGCUGAAUACCUCGUUUUCUAUAGCCUUCUCAUAUUAAGGAAGUAUAUGGUUAUCAAAGUAUUAAAAUUACAUGAUAUUCUGUUGGGUAAAUCUUUUUAAAAUUCACAUGGCUUGGAGAAUAAAAAAGAUCGAAUUUAAUAUUUAGGUCAUUACAAGCACAUUGCUGGAGCAAAGGGAAUUACCCACGUGGUUCAGGCAGAAGCUCUGUAGAAUUUUAAGCAAAUGGAGUUUUUCUGGUUGCAAUUUAGAAGCAACUUCCUCCUGAGAGCCCAAAGGGUCACAAAAAUUAGAAUAAAUUAGCUAGACAGCCUUUUAAUGGUAUUUUUUCCACUUGAAGAAUAUUAUCCCUUUCAUGAGUGCUGGCACAUGUUCCAGCUACAUUUUCCGUCCCCGGAGGUUAAGGAGCCAUGGUGGUGCAGUGGUUAAGGCGCUUGACUGCUAACCGAAAGGUGGGCGGUUGGAAACCACCGGCAGCUCCUCGGGAGAAAGACGUGGCAGUCUGUUCCUGUAGUGAUUUACCGUCGUGGAAACCCUAUGGAGUUGCUAUGAGUCAGAACCCACUCAGUGGCAGUGGGUUUGGGUUUUUUUGGUUGGGGGUUUAUUGGCAGGCUUUGAGCAUCUCUAGUGUGUUCUGGCGUCAUGGUGGAUACUGGUGUAACUGCCUAAAGAACAAGGAAGUUGGUCUGCGCACAUUUGAGUGUUGAGAGCCAGUCGUAUGAGGGGAUGCUUCCCGGAGGAGUGAUUGUGUGAAACUUCCGUGUCUUUUGGCUUCUGUACAGCAAGAUAAGGCUUGCAAGUAUAUUUACUAUUUCCUUUGUGUUAUUGGGAAUGUACGGUUACCGGCAUUUGGAAAUAUUCAAGUAAAUGAGUUAUUUUGGGAUGAAGAUAAUUUGUGAUGCACUUCCUGGGCCCUGCACCCUGUGUGGGCUGUGCUUCAUGUAACACUGACAUGGCCGGCUUGCGUUUGUCACCUCCCUGAUGGCGUCUUUAUAAAGUGCUCACUGGAAAGCUGGGUAAGAGAUUUUAUGGCUCAAGUGUAAGCAGGAAGCGGGAUGCACUUCCUGGGCCAUGGGGCCUUUGUGAUGUACUUCGUGGAACAAGGUACCCAUAUGGACUGCUUGUAAUUGGCACCCUAUUUUUUCAAAUAACGAAAAUACUAUCAGCACACAAUGAUCCAGCAGUCAUUGCAUUAGUGAAUAAACAUGGCAUCACCAAAAACUUGCAAAAAAAAUAAUUUAUCCAUGAAAAGGUUAUUAUGUAUUUGUUUAAUGCACAGUGUGUUAUGGGGUUAUGAUUAUUAGAAAAAACAUUUUUAUACUUUUUACUUUUGACUCAGAUCUUGAACAAAAAUGAUAUAAACUCUCAAAAACUGUAACUCACUUGAUUGCCUCAGGAUUGAAGCAUACCUAGGCUCCCUUCAAAAUGCUAGACUAAAGGACAAGGAAACACAUGAGAACACUGAAGCAUCCUUUCCAAGGUAAUUUUAUUCAAAUUUCAUUAAAGUUUACAGUUUCCCCCAUGUGUAUUUUAACACAAAUAAUUUCAGUUACAUUAGAAAAUAUGAGAAUUACUUCAAUUCUGUUUUAUUUUUAGAAUAACAUUUAUAAGGUAUUUUUAAAAUUCAUUUGAUAAUAAAUAUUUAAAUAAAUACAACAUAAAUAAAUAUCAGUUCACAUGAUUUCAUGAACAUAAAAUUAUAUAAAUAAAUAUUUUAAAAUAAAUUAUGCUUGCGUGUCUGUUUCUACAAACACGUUGGCACAGAAAUAGCUUAUAAAUGCCUGUUCUUCUUGAAGGGAAAGAAAAACACAUCCAGUGAGGAGGGCGUUUUCCCUUCUCGGCAAUUUGCUUAUGAAAACUUAAAAACAACUUAUGGAUAGUAAAGGUGAAAUAUACUUGCUCAAAGGAAUCACAUGGAUCUAAGAGUCGCACCCUUCAAAUUCUGGGUGGCGACUACUGUAAACAGAAGCAGGAGAAUUACGGUGCCAGCUUAAGUAGGAUCAGGUCAAACCGCCCCCUCCCCAGCCC